rnacentral:rRNA from 1 species
AUUGAACGCUGGCGGCAUGCCUUACACAUGCAAGUCGAACGCGAAAGGGGGGCAACUCCUGAGUAGAGUGGCGCACGGGUGAGUAAUACAUCGGAACGUAUCCUGUAGCGGGGGAUAACCUAGCGAAAGCUAGGCUAAUACCGCAUACGUCCUAAGGGAGAAAGUGGGGGAUCGUAAGACCUCACACUAUAGGAGCGGCCGAUGCCGGAUUAGCUAGUUGGUGGGGUAAAAGCUCACCAAGGCGACGAUCCGUAGCUGGUCUGAGAGGAUGAUCAGCCACACUGGGACUGAGACACGGCCCAGACUCCUACGGGAGGCAGCAGUGGGGAAUUUUGGACAAUGGGGGAAACCCUGAUCCAGCCAUGCCGCGUGAGUGAAGAAGGCCUUCGGGUUGUAAAGCUCUUUCGGCCGGGACGAAAUCGCACGCGUGAAUAUCGCGUGUGGAUGACGGUACCGGCAGAAGAAGGACCGGCUAACUACGUG